CAGCACUUGGCUUAUUUAAUUACUGGUUUUUAAACCUAUGUGCCUUUAUUUCUUUCCGCUUUUAAUUAGAAACUAUCUGAAACGGGUUAUGCGUAUGUAUAUCGGCCUGUUUGGUGCGGAUGUGGAACUGGUGACUCAAUAAUCACAAUUGAGUAUAGCAUAUUCUUUAACUAAACAGAUAAUACUAGGCAUUGAUUUUACAUGUAGCCACAAACAUGCUGAAUUUAUCACGGAAUCACAUCAACAACAGACAAACCAAAUAGUGGUUAAAAAUCAAUAGCUAUGCUCUGUCGAGUUCUUCAAAUUUCAAUGACGAAGCUUGAAGAAGCAAAAGAGAUCUUAUAACAUACACGAAUAGCAAGAGUUGUUCAAUACCACAUAUUGCAAACCCAGGAUGAAAUUUGUUAUUGCAGCUAUGUAUUAACUCAAUCCUAAGCAUAUGAGCUUAGCCUAGCGUUGAGCCAUAAAUAUAGGAAGGCAAUACUGUCAAGCCAAAUGAAGAACUAGAGACCUUCAAGCUACCAAACAUGGACAUCUGUAGCUCAGUCAAGCUGAAACUAUCACGAACUUGGAGUGAUUUUCUUAUCCUAACUGAACCAAUAGCUAAUUGUAAUAGAUGACACAAUCAUGUUCCACAAUCCCCUUUGACAAGGUAUUAAAAUGAAUGUAUGCAGACUUCAUAGCUGUAAAAUCUCCUGCAGCAACCAUCUAAACCACAAACAUACGUUGGCCAACAGUGAAUGCUCUAGCAUCUUCAACAGAAGGGAAUGCGCAGCUAAUAAUGAUCGAAAUCAAAAAAGGCAAACAGAUACAAUCUAGAAUACUUAAAAUAUGAGUACAUUAACAUGCUGCAAUCAGAUGCAUUGAUGCAUUGAGAAGAUACUAGCAUAGCUUGUAAACCACAUUAUCAUAGGAUUGUCUAUGCAUUAUCCAUAACUAUCAAUGUAAAAAAAACUACUGCUAGUCGAAAAUCUUGAGUUCAGUCCAAAACAUCACAUUAUUUCAACCUUAGGGCACAUCAAAGUCAAGGAAAUCAGCAUAACAAACAAAACUAUAUUUGAGGCAACAGGUAAAAUGGAAGAGAAGAAACAGAUAGCUAUAUAUAUUUCUUUCAAUUUCUCAUUAAAAUUUCUAACACAUGCGAGGACCCCUGCAAUCACUUGCUGCUCAUGGUUGGCAGAUUUACCUGGAAAUGAGGCAAAAAUCAAGAGAUAGGAAAUUAGUGAUCUGGUGACAGAAGAGCAGCAACAGAGAUCCCCAAAGCAUUUCAAAAUCCAAACUCAAAACAUUUCAAUCAAAGAGAGAGCAUGAAUAAUGAAUUUAUCAUUGAAGAAACUCCGAACCCCAAAGAGUGUAAUGAAAUAAUGUUUUUUAUUUUGCCUUCAGCUAUUUCUCUUAUAUUUUUGAAUGCUCCCUAUGAAGGACCCCCCUAAGGCAAGAAAAUGUGUCCUUUUAUGGGCAAAGAAAUAGGGCACCACUGUGAAAUUCAUUUUUCCUCUUAGUCCUUGUAAUAUUGGCUUGCUUGCCAAGUAAAGCAACUUUUCUAGCUUCUAGGAAGCUUCCUAGGCAACUAUACUCAGAUUCCCUAACGCUUUACCCAAUCUACCCCUGAAUUCCCUUGAUUUUACUGCAAAAGACUUAAUGGUUAUAGGUCCAAUGACCUAACAAUUGAACCAUGCCUGGGCUCAAACUGAACUAUGAGAUAAAUUCACGGCUCAGACAACACACAAAAUUUUUAAACUCAAACUACAUUAGAAUAGCCCGACAACAAAGAAUGCAAAAAUUAGCUCAGCUGACCAACCGAAUUUAAACAAAAUAGGCCAGAAAACUCACAGAUUUUUUUUUAAAAAAAAAACUGGUAUAAAGAGAACAAAAUGGGCAAAACCAAUUCUGUCUAAAACUUGUCUUUAAAAAUUUGCACUAGAAAGGAAAGAAGAAGGGGGGGGAAGGGACAAGAAAUGAGAAGCCAAGUAGUGAACGGAAUAGAAAAAGAUGAAGAUACUCACUAAGUUUGGACUCAUCCUCGACUGACCUUCUGAUUUAAACCACAAAGGGAUAUUAGUCGUCUGUUUUUUUCUUCAAUAACAGGUGAAUAACAUCGCUUUGUGAUAAUACUGGCAUUGAAUGUUCAUAGACCUUGGAGAGAUACCCUUUGCAUGAACGGGUUUCGACUUUGGCUUUUAGGGUUGGAAAUCUACAUCCAAGAUUCAAGAAAUUUCGGUUGGAUUUGGUGAAAAAUGGUUUGAUAUUUGAGCUGAGAGGGCCAAGGUGAGUUUAUGGUGUAAUUUUCGUGGAGAUUGAAGACUUUCCGCCGGCGACCAUGGCUGAGUCGCUCAGGCACAACAUAAGUUUCGUGAAGAAGAUGAGAGAAAAGGAUCGGUUUGGUCUUAGGUUAAUAGGGAAUUUCGGACACUUUUAAGAGAAUAAGGGAACUGACACCGG
rnacentral:lncRNA from 1 species